UGCAUCUGAAGCCUGACGAGGAUGAGAACCUCCGGGGGCAAGAGGUUCGACUCGAGCGCAGCGAGAGAACGUUGCGUCAGCAACGGCCCGCAGGGCGAGCCACG
rnacentral:sRNA from 2 species